GUAAGGAAUAUUGGUCAAUGGACGAAAGUCUGAACCAGCCAUGCCGCGUGAAGGAUGAAGGCCCUCUGGGUUGUAAACUUCUUUUAUCUGGGACGAAAAAAGCUCAUUCUUGAGCACUUGACGGUACCAGAGGAAUAAGCACCGGCUAACUCCGUGCCAGCAGCCGCGGUAAUACGGAGGGUGCAAGCGUUAUCCGGAUUCACUGGGUUUAAAGGGUGCGUAGGUGGGUCUGUAAGUCAGUGGUGAAAUCUCCGAGCUUAACUCGGAAACUGCCAUUGAUACUAUAGAUCUUGAAUCAUCUGGAGGUAAGCGGAAUAUGUCAUGUAGCGGUGAAAUGCUUAGAUAUGACAUAGAACACCAAUUGCGAAGGCAGCUUACUACGGGUGCAUUGACACUGAGGCACGAAAGCGUGGGGAUCAAACAGGAUUAGAAACCCUGGUAGUCC
rnacentral:rRNA from 1 species